CUUUGACCUCAAAUCAGG
rnacentral:rRNA from 1 species